rnacentral:tRNA from 1 species
UGCGGGGUGGAGCAGUCUGGUAGCUCGUCGGGCUCAUAACCCGAAGGUCGUUGGUUCAAAUCCAACCCCCGCCACCA